ACGAACGCUGGCGGCGUGCUUAACACCUGCAAGUCGAACGGAAAGGCCCUGCUUUUGUGGGGUGCUCGAGUGGCGAACGGGUGAGUAACACGUGAGUAACCUGCCCUUGACUUUGGGAUAACUUCAGGAAACUGGGGCUAAUACCGGAUAGGAGCUCCUGCUGCAUGGUGGGGGUUGGAAAGUUUCGGCGGUUGGGGAUGGACUCGCGGCUUAUCAGCUUGUUGGUGGGGUAGUGGCUUACCAAGGCUUUGACGGGUAGCCGGCCUGAGAGGGUGACCGGCCACAUUGGGACUGAGAUACGGCCCAGACUCCUACGGGAGGCAGCAGUGGGGAAUAUUGCACAAUGGGCGGAAGCCUGAUGCAGCAACGCCGCGUGCGGGAUGACGGCCUUCGGGUUGUAAACCGCUUUCGCCUGUGACGAAGCGUGAGUGACGGUAAUGGGUAAAGAAGCACCGGCUAACUACGUGC
rnacentral:rRNA from 1 species